AGUGGGAUAGCUGGGUCAUAUGGUGGUUCCAUUCCUAGUUUUUUGAGGAAUCUCCAUAUUGCUUUCCAGAGUGGUUGUACUAAUUUUCAGUCCCACUAGCAAU
rnacentral:pre_miRNA from 1 species